UACGUAGGCAGCAAGCGUUGUUCGGAGUUACUGGGCGUAAAGGGUGUGUAGGCGGUUGUUUAAGUUUGGUGUGAAAUCUCCCGGCUCAACUGGGAGGGUGCGCCGAAUACUGAAUGACUAGAGUGCGGGAGAGGAAAGUGGAAUUCCUGGUGUAGCGGUGAAAUGCGUAGAUAUCAGGAGGAACACCGGUGGUGUAGACGGCUUUCUGGACCGUAACUGACGCUGAGACAGAAAGCGUGGGUAGCAAACAGG
rnacentral:rRNA from 1 species